rnacentral:rRNA from 1 species
UACGUAGGGAGCAAGCGUUGUCCGGAAUCAUUGGGCGUAAAGCGCGCGUAGGUGGCCCGAUAAGUCCGCUCUGAAAGUCACAGGCUCAACCUGUGAAAGCGCGUAGAUACUGUCGGGCUAGAGUCCGGAAGAGGCGAGUGGAAUUCCUGGUGUAGCGGUGAAAUGCGCAGAUAUCAGGAGGAACACCGAUGGCGAAGGCAGCUCGCUGGGACGGUACUGACGCUGAGGCGCGAAAGCGUGGGGAGCAAACAGG